rnacentral:rRNA from 1 species
UGGGGAAUUAUGCACAAUGGGGGCAACCCUGAUGCAGCGACGCCGCGUGAUUUAGAAGGCCUUCGGGUUGUAAAAAUCUUUUGUAUAGGAAGAAAAUGACAGUACUAUACGAAUAAGGUCCGGCUAAUUACGUGCCAGCAGCCGCGGUAAUACGUAAGGACCGAGCGUUGUCCGGAAUCAUUGGGCGUAAAGGGUACGUAGGCGGUUAGAAAAGUUAGAAGUGAAAGGCUAUAGCUCAACUAUAGUAAGCUUUUAAAACUGUUUAACUUGAGAGAUGGAAGGGAAAGUGGAAUUCCUAGUGUAGCGGUGAAAUGCGCAGAUAUUAGGAGGAAUACCGGUGGCGAAGGCGACUUUCUGGCCAUUAUCUGACGCUGAGGUACGAAAGCGUGGGUAGCAAACAGG